GGCUAUGAGAGCGUGAAAAGGCAUCAGGUUCCACGCGCACCAGGUGCUGAUAUUCGGUUGAAUAAUCAAAGAUCGAUACUCGGUGAUCGGACCAAUGUGGGGGCCAGCAGUAGUUAUGUACCUAUCGUGGAUGGUGUGAAACAGUGGACCCCUGGAUCAAACCGUCUAACCAAGAAAAA